rfam:Neochlamydia sp. EPS4 DB42_BA, whole genome shotgun sequence.
GGAAGAGUGGCAGAGUGGCCGAUUGCGUCUGUCUUGAAAACAGAAGGCCCUUCACGGGGUCCGUGGGUUCGAAUCCUACCUCUUCCG